GCCGAAGUGGUGAAACUGGUAGACGCGCACGGUUCAGGGCCGUGUGGGUGUAUGCCCAUGUGGGUUCGAGUCCCACCUUCGGCACUA
rnacentral:tRNA from 1 species